GUGCUCGCUUUGGCAGCACAUAUACUAAAAUUGGAACGAUACCAAGAAACUUAUCAAGGAUGACACGCUAAUUCGUGAAGCAUUCCAUAUUUAU
rnacentral:snRNA from 1 species